AUGGGGGGCUGUUGAAUUAAAGCUGAAGUUUUGCUCUUCAGUCGCAUAUUGGCUAUUUCAUUUGAUUUAAAACCGACUGUAGUGGUGCACAGAGGCAAAACUACACCAUCCAGAAACUCAUGGACCUAAUAGUAUAUAUACACAGCACUUAGCUGCAUGCAGGUUGCACAUCCUUAGGGUGGAAAGAGAGAACAAGUGUAAUUACGUGGAUGACUUGAUGAAGUAGGAGAAUGUUAUUGUGUCACACUUUUAGAUUUGUGCUCAUUAACUGGAUGUUCCAAAACAUCUGGAUACCAUUUGUAAUCUUUACCUCUGGCAUAAAGGCCACUUAUUUAUAACCUUUUGUCAUUUAUUGGCGGAUACAUGAUCACAUCUCAGCGAACCUGUCCGUGCUAUUUCAGAUCUCAUUGUUUUAUUUCUGCUGCUCUUCUUUAAACAGGGGCCUGAUGGUUUACCAAUGCCUGGGUGCUGGCAGAAGUGAUCACUCUAACCUGAAACGCAUGGAGUUUGUAAAUAAUGCUUCUUUUACGGUAUUUAUAGUUUUUUAAUGGGAAAACAAGUCCAAAAGAAAAGAAGUCUGUGUGUACAAUGCUACAAAAAGAGAUAGCUGUCCUCCCCCCCAACCCCACUGUCCGACCCCGCUGCAAGUUUCAUGCUCUUUGCUGCUUCUACUCACAUCGGCGUGUGGAAAAAACAACAACAACAAAAAAAAAAAAAAAACACGCGCGUCCGCUCUUUCACAUCCACGCCGUGGUGGAGCUCAGAUCCUCGGCUGGUGGCAGAACUUGUCUCUUUAGUCUUUGCAUGGCUCAGACUGGAGCGUCGCAGCCCGGCCAGAUUCACGGGGGGUGGUGAAAGGAGGCGUGGGAGGAAGUGGAUGAGGUGGGAUCUGGACUGGCUCCCUAACACCAAAACGCUAGGUGUUUCUGUGUUGCUUCGUCUCAACAACCUCACCACACUUUCACGCAGCACCAUUCACUCAAAGACUAAAAGAAAAAAAAAAGGACUGUGCCAAGCAGAACAUUGCACCCCUGCCCUCCCCACUCCUGAAAAAGCAUGAGUAGUGUACUGAAACUAUAUUUAUAUGUAUUGUACAUACAUGUCACUGUUUUGUGGUUGCGUCAUGGCUUCUGCAGAAAAAACAACACUAACAAAAAAAAAAGAAAAGCCUCUAGAGUUCUGAAUAAGUAAUCUUUUUUUUUUGCUUUCCUUUAAUCUUCCCAAGGGAGUCACGCCAUGGCUGGUAGCCUGAAUGUCCCCCCAGAAAGUAAAGCUGUUGGUUAUUGUUGCUUUAUUGUGGUGAUGCCUGCAGAGGGUACCGUAUCAGCAGGUUUAUCACUGUUGCACUCGUGAGGCUCACUCGGCGUCAGUGCGGUGCCUCCAAACAGGUCUCCGGACAAGAGGGGAGGGGUAUGGGGUGGGUGGGUAUUGGGGGGAGGUAAACUUGGCAAGCUCGCUGCACUGACAGGGAAAUGAAUCAGCCUCACACGGAUUUGAGUUUGGACGGGCGUGCUCGGGAACCGUCUCCCAGCGCGGGAACGGACUCUGCAGGAGAGCCUCCAGGAGUCUCGCGGAUCUUACGCCAAGAUCAGCAGGAGCGUCUCCCUCUCCUGGCGGGCAAACGCGUGGUUUACCGAGAGCGUUGACAGAGCGCGAUUGAUCACGUUUGUUUCUUUACUAUUUUUAUCUCUUUCGUUUGUUGGUUUUUCACUGCCCCUCUCUCAUUUUUACACAUUGUUUGUAUUUUAUGUAUAAUAGCCUUUGGUGCCUCAAGCUUUUAUUCAUUCCUUUAUCAGAAAUGUACAACUUUGUAUCACAUUUUGAAUAAUUACGAUGACGUUUGUUUUCUAUUUUCUUUUGUUUUUUUGUUUUCCAGAAGGGAAAGCGUUGUAAGCUGUGGGAGGAUUGAAAAGCCGCACUGUUUUUCAUGUAUAUGUUUUUACAGGAUGUUGAAACCGCAUGUAGCUUCGAGCUUCACCUGAGCAUACAUUGAGAUUGCAUUCAUCUUAGUUGUACAGCCACUGAUCGGACUCACGGUUUUAAAGAAGCUCAAUAUUUGUACAAAGCACAUCCGAGCAUCGUCUGCAGAUAUGCUACUUUCUCAUUUUGGACUUGUACGGGAUAUUAUUUGUACAGUGUUGUCAGUUUGCUGCAUGUUCACAGCUUAUUACAUACGGAUUUCUUAAAUACUGAAAACAGGCAUCAGUUUGAGGAAGUGCAGAGCUUUGUUUAGUGGUCUUCAGUGAGAUUUAGCUGAACACACACAGUAUUUCAGAUGAAGGCAGAUUGUGUUGAAUCUAGCCCGCCACACUGCUCUCUUCCACCUCACAUUGUCUUAAAUAUGUUGAAAAAGUGUUACAAUGCAAGAAAAGCUAAAUUUGGCAUUUACCGCAAACUGGUCUCCUUCCAUUAGUUCACCGCGGUCUAACUGGUGGCCGGUUAACAUCACAUUCCUCAUCAGAUGGAGCAAAUCAAAAAAAGUGAAUGGAGCAGUAGGUUUAUUUUUCACCAUGGCUUAUACAUCCUUUCACGUUCCCUAUCUUUAUCUUGCCUUUUGACAUAGUAGGUGCUGUGUAGGGUUUUCUUCAACAUUAGAAUCGUUUGCUGUCAGAGCCGAUGUGAAACAAAGUAAAACAAACCUGUCGUGAUGCAGCAGCAGCCGCCAGUGGAUCCGAAAGGAUUUCCACCCACGUGGUUUCUGUGUGACGUACAGCUCAUCUCACCAUUUUAAAAGAAUGGAUGCACAUCAGUGUAGGUUCUUACGGUGCUACCUGAUAAGCAGGUCAACAGCAGUUGAUGCGCUCUAACAGUGGCGAGAACUUACACGAGCAGUUUCUUUAUUGUUGGAGUUUUAUGUGUGUAACAAUUUCAAGGGGUUUUUUGUGCAUAUAUUUGUGUAUUUUUGUCUCAGUAUUUUAAGUGGUACAUUAUUUAUUUUUCUAUGAUUUCUUAAAUGAAGGCAUUUUGGUUCUGAACAGCAUUCCUUUCGGUUCUGACGUGGGUUUCCGCCGUUCAUACGAAGAGUUUCGGGUCACGCUGAGGCAUCGCGAAGCUGCGAAGGAGCUCUGUAGUGGGGCGUCACAGAUCGGUGUGUAGUCACUGUGCAUUUACUUCAACUUAUAGGCCUUACCAUGACAUACAUCCGCUUUUAUUAAUUUUGUGUGUCAGAAAAAGCUAGUACUGAAGGCCUGAAUGUUGACGGGCACAGCCAAUGUAACAGUACACAGCUGAACAUGACCGCCUUUUUCUCUCUCACGCUUUCUCUUUGCAUUGAAUGUAGUUUGAUAUAUGUAUAGUGGAUUAUUAAUGUACUGUGUGUGCUCAUUUGGCAUAAAGUGCAAUUUAUACUUUAGUUAAUGUGUGUAACGUCAAAUGCAGCUGAAUUAUCGCAUUAAAGUGAUUUCUGUAGCUACAUUUGUUCAGUCAUGCUACCCUUUAUACCACUACCUGGGGACAUUUAAAAAAAACAAAAAAACUUUAUUCACCAGAAGACAAUGAAACAUAUGUAAACACAGACCCUCAAAUUAGAUACUUUUUUGCUUAAAGUUGCCCCUUCACUUAUGUUUUUAAAGUGUUACUUCCACUGUGUCGUAUUUACUAUGUUUUUAUUCUAUGUUUUCAUUUCCAACCUUUGUUACAGUAUUUGUUCUCACAAGGUGCUGUAUUCUUAGCAUGUGCAGCUAAUUUUUUUAAAUAGACUUUUCUAUUUGAUUGAUUUUGUUUGAGUUUUGUGUUUAUUUGUUGGAGUUAAAGGUGUUUUUUUCCCCCUGCUAUCAGCAGCAGUGCCAAACAGUUUGUUCCCGUAUGGGUGUUCACAGACCUGGCGAGAAGCUCCUUAAUGAAUCAGCAUCAAGUUUUAAGAAUCUGUAUUCUUGUGUUGUCGCAGAAAUGCCUCAUGUCAGUCAUUGCAACAUGAGUGAGUAGGAGGAGGAGAAUGGGGGAGCAGCCACAGUGCUCUUCCUCCUUGAUGUUGUGAAAGACGCUGGUUUCUCAUGAGGGUGUGUUGAUGCUCCAAUGCACAGCAGCCUUGCUGACAUAAUUCUGUUGCCACAUAAAUGCAGACUGUAGCAAAAAUUUUAAGAAAACUUCAUUCUGUGACUUAUUGGAGUUACGAUUAUAAUUUGGGGGGUUGUGGUAAAUGUUCAGUUUCUGCUCUGCAUUGGUAUUUCUUGUGUUUUUUUGCCCACUUGGUUGAGAUUUCUUUGAAGAGCCUUGUGUUCAUUCACUAUAUUUCAAGUUGACUUUACAUAUGACUGUACUGUUGGAGCCAAAUAAACACAGUCUUUCAAAUACA